rnacentral:rRNA from 1 species
AUGGACGGUCUACUGCAUUGGGAUUUCUCUCCCGGCCUAGCGGUCGCGGCUCAGGUGCGUCAACAUUUUGGAUCCUCGGUGCACUUCUCCCCCUCUGGUUCGCUCAAAGAGUACUUCUUGGUGGUUCAUUUCUCUUCAGCAAGUUUCCCUCUCAAUGAAGAUUCUGUGGCCAUUGCUCUACAAUGUUGCGUUGGGGGGCUCCCUUUGGUUCUCAAGGUUUUACAUCUCUCUGGUAGGAGAUACAGGUUUUCUGUGCCCUCCAAUAAAGUUGGACAUUUCAUAUAUGACCUCAAGGACAGAAUCCGGCCAGACUUUGUGUGCCAUUUUAAUCUGUUUAGGCCCAAUUCUAAUGGCCCUAUGGUACCUGAUUCUUUGUGGCAUCUUGAUGAUCAUAACUGA